rnacentral:rRNA from 1 species
UAGUCCACGCUGUAAACGAUGAGUGCUAGGUGUUGGGGGUAUCGACUCCCUCAUUGCCGCAGUUAACGCAUUAAGCACUCCGCCUGGGGAGUACGGUCGCAAGAUUAAAACUCAAAGGAAUUGACGGGGGCCCGCACAAGCGGUGGAGUAUGUGGUUUAAUUCGAUGAUACGCGAGAAACCUUACCUGGUCUUGACAUGUAUAGAACUACUAAGAAAUUAGUGGGUGCACAGCAAUGUGAGCUAUAACACAGGUGGUGCAUGGUUGUCGUCAGCUCGUGUCGUGAGAUGUUGGGUUAAGUCCCGCAACGAGCGCAACCCUUGUUGCUAGUUACCAGCACGUAAUGGUGGGCACUCUAGCGAGACUGCCGGUGACAAACCGGAGGAAGGUGGGGAUGACGUCAAAUCAGCACGCCCCUUACGACCAGGGCGACACACGUACUACAAUGCACGGUACAGCGAGCUGCGAAGUGGCGACACUCAGCGAAUCUCUA